rnacentral:rRNA from 1 species
GAGAGUGGCUUCCGGAGCUAACGCGUUAAGUCGACCGCCUGGGGAGUACGGCCGCAAGGUUAAAACUCAAAUGAAUUGACGGGGGCCCGCACAAGCGGUGGAGCAUGUGGUUUAAUUCGAUGCAACGCGAAGAACCUACCUACUCUUGACAUCCAGAGAAUUUAGCAGAGAUGCUUUAGUGCCUUCGGGAACUCUGAGACAGGUGCUGCAUGGCUGUCGUCAGCUCGUGUUGUGAAAUGUUGGGUUAAGUCCCGCAACGAGCGCAACCCUUAUCCUUUGUUGCCAGCACGUAAUGGUGGGAACUCAAAGGAGACUGCCGGUGAUAAACCGGAGGAAGGUGGGGAUGACGUCAAGUCAUCAUGGCCCUUACGAGUAGGGCUACACACGUGCUACAAUGGCGCAUACAAAGAGAAGCGACCUCGCGAGAGCAAGCGGACCUCAUAAAGUGCGUCGUAGUCCGGAUUGGAGUCUGCAGCUCGACUCCAUGAAGUCGGAAUCGCUAGUAAUCGUAAAUCAGAAUGUUACGGUGAAUACGUUCCCGGGCCUUGUACACACCGCCCGUCACACCAUGGGAGUGGGUUGCAAAAGAAGUAGAUAGCUUAACCUUCGGGAGGGCGUUUACCACUUUGUGAUUCAUGACUGGGGUGAAGUCGUAACAAGGUAACCAAGGGCGAAUUCCAG